CCUACGGGUGGCAGCAGUGGGGAAUAUUGCACAAUGGGGGAAACCCUGAUGCAGCGACGCCGCGUGAGCGAUGAAGUAUUUCGGUAUGUAAAGCUCUAUCAGCAGGGAAGAAGAUGACGGUACCUGACUAAGAAGCCCCGGCUAACUACGUGCCAGCAGCCGCGGUAAUACGUAGGGGGCAAGCGUUAUCCGGAUUUACUGGGUGUAAAGGGAGCGUAGACGGCGAUGCAAGCCAGAUGUGAAAGCCCGGGGCUCAACCCCGGGACUGCAUUUGGAACUGUGUGGCUGGAGUGUCGGAGAGGCAGGCGGAAUUCCUAGUGUAGCGGUGAAAUGCUUAGAUAUCGCGCAGAACCCCGAUUGCGAAGGCAGCGUACCGGCUCCACACUGACGCUGAGGCACGAAAGCGUGGGUAUCGAACAGGAUUAGAUACCCUGGUAGUC
rnacentral:rRNA from 1 species